AUGGGCUCUACAGGCUCCAGGUCCAGGCUCAGUCAGGUGGCCCCGUGUCACAGUCAGACAGAGGGAGACCUGGACCAGCAGGCCAGUCAUCCCACUUCACAUUGGACCAUCCCUGCCAUACCAACCCCACUGGAGCAUCAACAUGAGCCGCUGGGACAUAGGAGGACUACCCAGCUGCCCCCACUGAAACUGGAAAACCCUGCAACCUUCCCACCGCUAUCUACAGCCUCCCACAAAGUCAAAUCAACAUUUGGGGUCCAAGCAUCAUUCAUCCUCAGCCACCACGGAGACUACAGGUCAGAACAGGCAGGGACCGGAGAGAUGGGGGUGUCCUCCACUUUUCUACACCCAGCCAGGGGGCACACGGUGGCACCGGCCGCCUGCCGCAGGGAGGUCUCCUGGAGGCACAGAUGGUCCUCAGUCAACAGGCCCAGCAGAGACAGAGAGCCCACCAGAGACAAGUCAGAGAACAGCGGGAGCACGAGAGGAUCUUCUAUACAGAUAAUUUUGGAGCACCAAGCAGCAAAGGGAUACAUGGUGGACCGACUUUGA
rnacentral:lncRNA from 1 species